rnacentral:rRNA from 1 species
UACCGAGGGUGCGAGCGUUGUUCGGAAUUAUUGGGCGUAAAGGGCUCGUAGGCGGCCAACUAAGUCAGACGUGAAAUCCCUCAGCUUAACUGGGGAACUGCGUCUGAUACUGGAUGGCUUGGAUUCGGGAGAGGAAUGCGGAAUUCCAGGUGUAGCGGUGAAAUGCGCAGAUAUCAGGAGGAACACCGGUGGCGAAGGCGGGUCUCUGGGCCGUAACUGACGCUGAGACGCGAAAGCGUGGGGAGCAAACAGG